AUGACGAGGAACCUCAGCAGCAUCGCUCUGCUGCUGCUCUGCUGCUGCUAUUGUUCUUUGACCAAUGAUGUCCAGCAGGAUCCACCAGCAAUAUUAGGAACUCUUCAGGGUCCUGCAACAAUCACCUGCAGCCACUCAGUCAGCACAUUUAACGUGAUUCUGUGGUACCAGAAGCCGACCGGCGGCUCCGCUCUCCAGUUAGUCGGUCAUACUUUGUAUGAAAAACCAACAGUGGAGCCUGAAUUCAAUGGUCGCUUCAGUAUAAAAGGAGACGGCUCAAAGAAAUCUGAGCUCCGUGUGGAGAAGCUGCAGCCUGAAGACAGCAGCAUAUAUUACUGUGCAGCUAGUAGCACAGUGACUCAGUUCAUGUCUCCCCCUCUACAAAAAGUCGGCGUGAUGCAACCUUCUCCGUUACAGAGGGAGCCAUCGUUCACCUGCUGA